rnacentral:rRNA from 1 species
AUUGAACGCUGGCGGCAGGCCUAACACAUGCAAGUCGAACGGUAACAGGAAGACGCUUGCUUCUUUGCUGACGAGUGGCGGACGGGUGAGUAAUGUCUGGGAAACUGCCUGAUGGAGGGGGAUAACUACUGGAAACGGUAGCUAAUACCGCAUAACGUCGCAAGACCAAAAAGAGGGACCUUCGGGCCUCUUGCCAUCGGAUGUGCCCAGAUGGGAUUAGCUAGUAGGUGGGGUAACGGCUCACCUAGGCGACGAUCCCUAGCUGGUCUGAGAGGAUGACCAGCCACACUGGAACUGAGACACGGUCCAGACUCCUACGGGAGGCAGCAGUGGGGAAUAUUGCACAAUGGGCGCAAGCCUGAUGCAGCCAUGCCGCGUGUAUGAAGAAGGCCUUCGGGUUGUAAAGUACUUUCAGCGGGGAGGAAGGGAGUAAAGUUAAUACCUUUGCUCAUUGACGUUACCCGCAGAAGAAGCACCGGCUAACUCCGUG